AGACUAGUCAGAAGCUGGAUUUCAACUGGUGUGGCUCCUACAGUGACUUCAUGAUGAAAACCGGGUGUUUGCAACUGCUAAGGAUGGCGUAGCUCUGGGCAGGCAGGUGGGACCCAUUGGGUUAUGGCCAUUGACCUUUGCUUCUGUGAUGGAGGGGCAUGUGCCUCUGCUGCCCAGUAUGGACCAAUGCACUGAGCUGACAUCAGUGAGAAACUCCUGUGCUGCAGCACGAGAGGCUCGCCUGGAAUGCUGUGGCUUGGGAGGAGGAUGAGCUCAUGGCACAGACGGGGAG